rnacentral:lncRNA from 1 species
UGCUCCAUGUCGUCGUCUUCCGCAGCUCCGGCUUGACGAAGUAGACGCAGAGUGAUGAUGACCUCCGCUCCACUGUCCUUCAUGGCGCCGGCUCGACGGCUUCGGCGAUGGGCUGCGUCGUGGCGUUCUCGAUGUCGCUCUCUUCCACGACCCCAUCAUGAUGAAGUAGACGUGGUGAUGACGACCUCCACUCCACUGUCCUUCAUGGCGCCGGCUUGACCAGGAAGGCGAUGGGCGUUGUACCAGCAAGCUCCACGGCACCGUAUUGACGAAGUGGACAUCAACGGCGUCCCUCGAGCUCCACCGCGCCACCAUCGGGCUGUGCAUGCAUGCAAUAUAAAGUCCAUACGAGAGAUUAGAUCACGAUUUUACCGUUCAGGAACAUCAGCUUGCUGUCCAUGUCACUGGUGCCGCCAAAGUUUCGUGCGUGCAGAUGAGUGUACGCUGGUCCUUCUCCUCUACGUGUAUGCCGGCGUAACAGUCCGCGUCCUUAGACUGGCCGACGUUCCGUGCGAUCGGGCGUCGGGUGCUCCUGCCGGACGUCGACUUUCGGUUGUUCCUUGAUGGAUGUGCUUUGUGCGUGGUGGAUCGAUGUAUGGCUGGUUGGUUGAUGGAUGUUGUAAACGAUGAAUGGCUUCGUGAUGGAUGGAUGUUUGGUGCGUGGAUGGAUGUUGUAAACGAUGGAUGGAUUUUGUGAUGGAUCGAUCUCUGGUGUGUAGAUGGACUUUUGUGAUGGCUGAUGCGUGGAUG